UGUUGGAUGGGCGCCCCUUUUUGCGCUCAAGAUCAGUUUCGCCAAUCAGUAUAUAAUAUAUAUAGCCAUGGGUGAAGAAAACACAGGCAAAAUAUAAUGUCAGAAAGCAAGAAGCAUUUUCACGAUGUUAUAAUUUCAGAUUUACCUAGUUAUACCGUUGUUCUUUACUGUGUAGUACAGCUGGAGAAUUGCUUUUGAGGUUUGACAGUAUAUUGGAAAUGGAUGCAUUGGGAUUAGAAAAUCGUGCCUUCAUUGAAAACACCGGAGACGAAUUGUGGCCUAGCAACGGAGCUCCCGUCAAUAGAAUAUUGCGUGCCGAUCAGAUUUAACACAAUAUUGUCAAUUGUUAAAAACUCGGCAUUCGCGACUUUACGGUUUCCCAUAAUCCCUUGCGCGCGCAUGACUUCCGGUAAAAUGUAAACAAGGAAGACGCUAGCAAAUCUGAAGAAAUACAACAGCAGAGAUGCAGUUAAUCCAAUCAAAGGACCGCCUUUCGAUAUGAGAUAGGACUUCAAGUAUGGCAAAAAGUGGAAGGUCCAUCUAAUCUACAUACUUCUGUGAUGACAGAGCUCCACGGGUUGGUCAACAGGGCUGUUUUACCUCAACGAACAUCUUGUCCAAGUUACAGGCACGAUGCGGCCAAAGAAGAAUGCCCAGACAAAGCCAUCCACCACAAGUGUGCUUCAGCCAAAAUGUUACAGAACCUACAAUGAAGUUUCAUCCUUGUCUGCAGUUAAAUUAAAGCAGUUGUGUGGACAGUACAAUAUAGACCCAACAUUACCUAAGAAGGCCAAAAUAGUAUUUAUAAGUCAAACUCUUGGAAUUUCAACAACUGGUAGCACAAACAAUAACAGUGUAAAUCACUUUAGAAAGACAUUUGAUAGUCUUACAUCAAAACAGAUUGAAGAGUUAGAACAGUUGAAAACUAAAAUACUGUAUUGCAUGCCAGCAGCAGAAUGGACAACAGACAUAACAAAAUUACCAGAAAUAAAUGAUGUUUCUGUGAAACGCUACCUUCUUGACAACAAUAUCCUUGAUAAAUCCUCUGCCAGAACUUAUAAAUUAUCGCGUCCAUACCAGCUAAGGAACAAUGUGCAUUCUAUUAAAUACUGCGAGAAUGAAGAAUCAAGUAGUUUCUUUGUACAGCAAUCGAAAGAUUACUAGAAUUUCUCUUACACUCUAUUUUAUUGAAGUAAUGAUUUUAAAUGCUGUCAAACGGAAUUUGGAAUGGCUUGGGGGAAAUGAGAAGAAUUUGCGAUGUUUACUGGGUGUCGUCGGUAAUGCAUGUUAAUUCAUCAAAGUCUGUUGGACUUCCCAUGGGGCUAGUUCUAAUAUAAUGUUUAAAUAGUUGGCCCAUGAGUCUUUUUACCUCUUUUGGUAUUGGCAUACUCAUUAUAUAUGUUACUGAGAAACUUGUCCCUUUUUUGAAAAAAGAAGUUCCACUAAACGCCCAUUAAUUGUGGCUACCCCAUCGACAAAAUUGCGCUGUUUAUUUGACAUCUUUGUCUUAAGUUAUUAUCUAGAACAGAAGUCGAGACAUUCUGUGAGUCGGUCACCACAAACAUUUGCAAAAGCAUAUUCUGAGUUGAAGCCGCAUACCCCACCCACCUCAGAUCUCCUGAUGGCGAUGGAGGGGUCAACCUCGACAAUAGUCUUCUGGAGAAACACCGAGAAGCACGCGGCUGCCAGGAGGAUCUGGAUCAGACGCUUGUCAUUCUUGUGUAGGCACCGCGGACUCACAGAAUUCAACC